AAUUUCUCAAUCAUAUAGGGUGUUUGUUAACUCUGUAUGACUUGGAUUUUGGGAUUUUUGCAGGCUCACUCUAGAGUCAGCUAUCCUUAAACACAUUAGCAAAGCUUGUGAAGGCCUAUUGGUGUGAUAAUUAUCUAUGCCAUGGAGUCUUCAUUAAACCAAGUAAUAGCUUCUAAUAGUCUUUCCAAAGACAAAUCAAUUGACU
rnacentral:misc_RNA from 1 species